UACAGAGGUCCCAGGCGUUGUUCGGAUUCAUUGGGCGUAAAGGGUGCGUAGGUGGCGCCGUAAGUCAGGUGUGAAAUCUCGGGGCUUAACUCCGAAACUGCAUUUGAUACUGCGGUGCUUGAGGACUGGAGAGGAGACUGGAAUUUACGGUGUAGCAGUGAAAUGCGUAGAGAUCGUAAGGAAGACCAGUGGCGAAGGCGGGUCUCUGGACAGUUCCUGACACCGAGGCACGAAGGCCAGGGGAGCAAACGGG
rnacentral:rRNA from 1 species